AUUGAACGCUGGCGGCAGGCCUAACACAUGCAAGUCGAGCGGAUGAAGGGAGCUUGCUCCUGGAUUCAGCGGCGGACGGGUGAGUAAUGCCUAGGAAUCUGCCUGGUAGUGGGGGAUAACGUCCGGAAACGGGCGCUAAUACCGCAUACGUCCUGAGGGAGAAAGUGGGGGAUCUUCGGACCUCACGCUAUCAGAUGAGCCUAGGUCGGAUUAGCUAGUUGGUGGGGUAAAGGCCUACCAAGGCGACGAUCCGUAACUGGUCUGAGAGGAUGAUCAGUCACACUGGAACUGAGAAACGGUCCAGACUCCUAGGGGAGGCAACAGUGGGGAAUAUUGGACGAUGGGCGAAAGGCUGAUCCAGCCAUGCCGCGUGUGUGAAGAAGGUCUUCGGAUUGUAAAGCAAUUUAAGUUGGGAGGAAGGGCAGUAAGUUAAUACCUUACUGUUUUGACGUUACCGACAGAAUAAGCACCGGCUAACUUCGUG
rnacentral:rRNA from 1 species